rnacentral:rRNA from 1 species
UUCAGCCCUGCCUAAUAGUCACCAGAUCCCAUCUGAUCUUGAAACCCAAGCAACGUCAGCCCUGAUUAGUACUUGGAUGGGAGACCAUCAAGGAAUAUGUUUGAAGGCUGUAU